rnacentral:rRNA from 1 species
GACGAACGCUGGCGGCGUGCUUAACACAUGCAAGUCGAACGCUGAAGCUUGGUGCUUGCACUGGGUGGCUGAGUGGCGAACGGGUGAGUAAUACGUGAGUAACCUGCCCUUGACUCUGGGAUAAUCCUGGGAAACUGGGUCUAAUACUGGAUAUGACAUGCCACUGCAUGGUGGUGUGUGGAAAUUGUUUUACUGGUUUUGGAUGGGCUCACGGCCUAUCAGCUUGUUGGUGGGGUAAUGGCCUACCAAGGCGACGACGGGUAGCCGGCCUGAGAGGGUGACCGGCCACACUGGGACUGAGACACGGCCCAGACUCCUACGGGAGGCAGCAGUGGGGAAUAUUGCACAAUGGGCGGAAGCCUGAUGCAGCGACGCCGCGUGAGGGAUGACGGCCUUCGGGUUGUAAACCUCUUUCAGAACGGAAGAAGCGAGAGUGACGGUACGUGAAGAAGAAGCGCCGGCUAACUACGUG